rnacentral:rRNA from 1 species
CCGACAGUGAAAUACCGCAACUUUCGACGUCGUUUUACUUACUCGGUGGAGCGGAGAGAGGCUCGCCUCGCUUCUGGCGUUAAGCCGCUUCGUGCGGCGAUCCGCGUCGGGGACACUGUCAGGUGGGGAGUUUGGCUGGGGCGGCACGUCUGUUAAAAAAUAACGCAGGCGCCCGAUUUUGAGCUCAAUGAGAACAGAAAUCUCAUGUGGACCGAAAGGGGAAAAGCUCGGUUGAUUUUGAUUUUCAGUACGAAUACAAACCGCGAAAGCGUGGCCUAUCGAUCCUUUAGUCUUUGGGAAUUUCAAGCUAGAGGUGUCAGAAAAGUUACCACAGGGAUAACUGGCUUGUGGCUGCCAAGCGUUCAUAGCGACGUAGCUUUUUGAUCCUUCGAUGUCGGCUCUUCCUAUCACUGCCUCGCAGCGGGGGCCAAAUGUAGGAUUGUUCACCCACCAACAGGGAACGUGAGCUGGGGUUAGACCGUCGUGAGACAGGUUAGUUUUACCCUACUGCUGCCAGUUUUUCGACGGUAAUUUGGUUCAGUACGAGAGGAACCACCAAUUCGCACCAUCGGUAUAGCCGCCGCCCGAUAGGGCGAUGCGGCGAAGCUGCCAUGCGCCGGAUUACAACUGAACGCCUCUAAGUUGGAAUCCAUGCCGGACGCGAAAAGCCUUCUACCGGGACGGGCGUUCCGCAGCGAGCACGCCCAGCUUCGGCCGGAGCCGCACUCGAUCGCAAGUCACGGGCCCGCCCCGAUGGAUCCCCUGCAGACGACUCGAAUGAGGAACGGGGUGCUGUACGCGGCAGAGUGGCCUUGUUGCCACGAUCCGCUGAGGCUCAGCCUUGGUUCCGAAGAUC